rnacentral:lncRNA from 1 species
GCUCAUCAUUUUUCAGGUUUAGUGUUCUCCAUCCAACAUAACCAAACUAUUAAAUUAAGACAUUUACUACUUGGGAAACACACAAUAUUUUAUAACUGGCUUUAUUUAAAACACAACUACAUUAAAUCCUGUAUUUAACUCCUGUGCCGGUUUAACCUACCACUAAGUACUUUUAACAACAAGGCACUAACCAUUUAUCUUCAAUUGACUUAUGGUAUGGGGUAAAAUCUUUUGGUAGUUAAACUCAUACUUUAGCCUUGGAAAAAUUCUUUUAUUCCUAAGUUAUAAUGGGCUUCAAACUAGCUCUGGAUUUAUAUAUAUACUUUUUCAGUGGUGUUAUGUGUCUUUUGUCCUAUUAGUUGUAAUUUUGUUUCAGUCCUGUUAUGAACUGGUUUAUAUUGGUCUUUUAAAAUUUGUUUUGACACAACUGUCCUGUGUUAUGAUAGGGUGAAGUGCUCACGAAUAAUAAUUAUACCAACUUCUAUAUGUUCCUUUUUUAGUUGACUUUAAGAUAUGGAUUUUGCUUAUUGGUACCAGCGGAACAUUACUUGUUUUAAUUCUGCAGCUGAAGGACUAUUAUGGAAAGUUAUCCUUAUUUUAUUGCAAAUUACAUGUACUUUAUGCUGUCUUAUUACAUGACUUAUUUACAAAGGGAACAGUUAAAUGUUUACUACUGUGAAAGACACUUUAUAUUUGGAUGAGAUUCUUUUUUUUUUUUUUUUUUAUAAAUUACCACCCCUAUUUCCUUCAAUUACACCACUGCAGACAACAGAUAUAUGGUUAGUGCUUUGGUCAUGUUAAAAUAUUUAUGUUUGCAUUUUUCCAACAUUCAGGUCAUUGCCAUAUACAUGUAUCAACCAAGCACUUCAAUUUGCAUCACAAAACUAUUUAAAUUCAUUUAAUCUUAAAACCCACCUUAACCUCCCCAGUUUUCAGUGACGGGUAAGCAUUUGUCUUGUAAGUAAUCACCCUACAGCUCUUACUUUAUUUUAGAUAAUCAAAAUAGCUUGUCAGAAGUAUAAUUAUACAUGUAAAUAAAUUGAAGAAUACUAACAGCUUGACAUACUGUAUAUAAUACAUGUCUUUCCUGGAAAGCUAUCUGUAUGCACUGACUCUAUAUAUAUUUUUGUCUUUGGUUUGCUGUCUCAUAUCUUUUUACCCCACAUCUCCUGUUAAUUAAUUCACACAUAGAAAGGUAGAUUGGUCAUAAUGAACAUCAAUAAAAGGGUAGAAUUCAGGUGCUGAAAAGAUGUAAUCAGACCAUGUUUCAAUAUUCAUUAUAUCUACCUCAAUUUGGCUCAAACAUGACAAUGCAUGACAUGAAGGAUAAAAGUUAAAAUCAUUUAAGUGGUAUAUGUUAUUGAGAUAUCAACCAAACAUCACAAUAUGAGGCACUGUUAUAAGUAAACUUUGUCUAUUUGAACGCUUCCAGUUUUUC